GCAUACGUUAUUUUAAUAAUGUACAAAAAGGUGAAAAGAAUUCACGCGUGCAACAAACGAGCAACUUACCCCCCCUUUGCAAGAAGUACGACGACGAUGAGGGGGUUGUUUUGAAAACUGUGAGAAUUAUUUACUAUAUUAGGUUCCCACGUUCUGACCGAGUAACCCUCUUUACGGUACGUGGUUCGCGAACGAUUCACUCGUAGCUCGGAUGAGGGUGCGACACUAUACCGACGACGGACUCGAAUCGAAUUAUCCUUAUGACUUAGUCCCUUCCUUCUGGCGCUCACCCUCCCUUCGCCCUCCUCUGUUCGCUCCAUUUAUUAAUCUUAAAUCACCAAACGCCUAAGACCUUUUUGUCGCGUACUCGACCCUGGACCCCGACCCCUCCCCCGACCCUGCAGUCGACUCGGCUUCUGGUCUCUGGUGCCUGCACCGAUCGUUUAAAUCGUCGGCUAUUUCCCUAUAUGUUCGCAGUAUUAUUUCUUCCUCGUUUCCCUGCAACUCUACUCAUCAUAGCUUAUACGUACGUAUUCUGUGUGUAUGUAUAGCUCACACAAAUUACAUCCGUUUUUCCCUUUCCUUUUACUUUACCCCGCCAAAAGUGCACCUUCAUCUACCUUACUUCAUGUACUUAAACGUUUUCUCUCGAAUCGUAAUACAAAAUACCCGACUCAGUAUCGCGUGUAAAAUACUACGUAGUCGAGUGGGAUUUUUUUCUCUCUUUUUCUUUCUUUGCUUUUUUUUUUUUUUUUCAAGUGACGCGUUCGGUUCGGUUCCGUAUAAGAUUUUUAUUAUUUUCGUGCGAUGUCGCGAAAACAUCCGAGGAAUUUCAAAUUACUACAACAAACGUGUAGUAUGUACAUCGUCAACUUUUAUCGAAAAUCGAACGUUUAUAGCGCAUCUCGAGAACCAAUAUGCCACAUGCUGGACAAAUUUCAACCACGAAGGGCGAGCGAGGGUGAGAUAAAAAAAUAAGUACUUCAGAACUAAACGGUUGCUCAACUUGGAGGCUGAAGAUGUCAUAAAUCCAAACAUAUAUUCGUGGAAGCUAGGACAAGUCGAGGAAUGAGAUGAUGAAAUCUCUUCGAAGAGCAGAAGAAAUUGUAUUACAUACAGUGUGAUCGAAACGUGGGACACAUGAACUUAUCAGCAUUGAAAAAUUUCAAGAAACGCGGAAAAUUUUUUGAAGAUUCUGAAACUGCGUUGCAUCGAAAAAUUGCAAGACACUGGAGCUUUUGUAAUGAGAUCCUGUCCGCAGAACAAAAAUUAGCAAAUGAAGCAAAGGACCAUGAAAAAUGGAUUCAACAACUGGCAUACACUCUAAAGAGAAGCAUUCCAAAAUGAAGACAGACAAAACCAACCACCUUCAAACAGCUCUUGCAGGUGGUAGCCACUAGCUAGAUAAAGAUUCGGAUAACAAAAUACCUGGUCAAAGAAAGAGGCCAGUUACCACCGGAAUUUCAAAGCCAGCGAGAGAUCAACCCUCUCGAUGAAACGAUCAGAAACGAAUCCGUGGUCAUCUAGACUUCCAAACUGUAGAAAAAUUAAGGGUACGACCAUGGACUGUGAUUGCAAGUCCUACACGUUAAUUUAUAAUCUACUUCAGUGCUUAGUUUAUAGUUGAAAUUUCUAUUCAACAUUUUUUUAAUUGAGUAAAUCAUCAUUUUCCAAGA